rfam:Papio anubis isolate 1X1155 chromosome 3, whole genome shotgun sequence.
UGGCGCCUGAACAGGGACCUGGAAACGAGGGACUCCGUGAGGAAGAGGACGCCAAAGGACGGUCGACCACUAACCCAGACAAAAGGAGUAAAACUCUUCCGAUCACCACGGGAACCUGCCGCGUCUGAAUCGAAGGUAAGUGGCGCGUCCAAAAUGGGACAAGAAUUAAGUCAGCAUCAGAUCUAUGUAGGACAAUUAAAAGAGGCUUUUAAAGAUA